rnacentral:sRNA from 1 species
CAGCUCAGAGUGCAAGCAACGCUCCCAUCAGCAGCAGCGCCGCCAUCGUCGCCGCGGCGGCCGGGACGACGGCGGCGGCGGCGCCGCCGCUCGGCGACGAGCCCGGCGGCGGCGAGGUCCCCGGCGCGGAGCUCUUGAUCGGGCACGCGUAGCCGCACUCCGCCGGGUCGACCACCCGGUAGACGCCCUUGCUGGUGAGCAGGUAGACGUCGCCGGCGUUGUCCUCGCCGAAGGAGAAGAUGUAGCCCAGCGACGGCAGCGUGCUCCUCGCCGCGGCGGCGUCGCAGGGGAUCGGCGACCUCCCGGAGCAGGCGAACGGCAGCGGCGUGACGUCGUACGCGCCGCUGCCCGGCGGCGACUCGAGGCCCGCCCAGGCGGACUGGGCGUAGAGGUCGGCGUAGAGCCCAUCACCGGCGGGAUGGCGUCGAUGUCGGCGGCGGAGGUGUUGCCGCCGGGGCUCGCCAGCGGCAGGUACGCCGUCGUGCCCUCCAGCACCCGCCACCCGUAGUUCCCGCCCUUUAUCACCAGGUCAACCUCCUCGUA